ensembl:lncRNA
GUUGUGAGUAUUGACCAUCCUUCUUCGUCCGAGCGUCCCGGCAUUGAGAACAAACAAACUCAGAUAACUAUGAGUUUAUUUGAAAACGAAACUUCCCGAGUUCAGUAACAUAAAAAUACACUCCCCGCUGUUAUGGAGCUCAGGGUUCAACCUGAGGCCGUCACUAUGCAACAAUUGAUGAAACUGCAACUGAAAAGAGGUUGUAAGCCAAUCAUUGUGAGCUUGCCUACAAUAAAUUGAGGCUAGUGGCCUUCUUUCUUCCUCUGAGCCUCUUCCUGUUGCUGUGGUUCCGGUUCACUGACGUCUGCAAACAUUUAAGGUGUCAGGUGUGUGAGAUGACAAUGGCUUUGCCUCACCGCUGCUUUGCUUCAUCACUGUUUUGCUUCAUCACUGUUUUGUUGAUUAUAACAGCUUGGGUUUUACCCUUUGGAUUCAUGUAAUCACUGCCCUCUUUUAGUCUGAGUUUUAAACAAUUUUCAUUGUAUGCACAGCGGGGCUGGCUCUGUAUACUUUAAUUUGCCUCUAUUAUUUCAAUA